rnacentral:rRNA from 1 species
UACAGAGGUCUCAAGCGUUGUUCGGAAUCACUGGGCGUAAAGGGUGCGUAGGCGGGUCUUUAAGUCAGGGGUGAAAUCCUGGAGCUCAACUCCAGAACUGCCUUUGAUACUGAAGAUCUUGAGUUCGGGAGAGGUGAGUGGAACUGCGAGUGUAGAGGUGAAAUUCGUAGAUAUUCGCAAGACCACCAGUGGCGAAGGCGGCUUGCCAGAACGCGCUCGGACGGUGAGGGAUGAAAGCUGGGGGAGCAAACCGG